AGAUGAUGGAAAGUAUUUGGCUGGCUUUGAUGAAACCUACAGUAUUGUCACCUAUGAGUUCACAAAUGAGUGACAACAGCUGCAUCAGCCCUGAGAGAUAAAGUGUACAGCUUUGCAGUGUUAAAGUUCAGCUGUUGUUUUUCUGGCAUCUGCUCUGAUUUCUCAUGUACUAUGUAGCUGAGUAUAUACUUUUACUGUGUUACAGUGAAAAAAUAAAAAC